AUUGAACGCUGGCGGCAGGCCUAACACAUGCAAGUCGAGCGGAUGAGAAGAGCUUGCUCUUCGAUUCAGCGGCGGACGGGUGAGUAAUGCCUAGGAAUCUGCCUGGUAGUGGGGGGCAACGUUUCGAAAGGAACGCUAAUACCGCAUACGUCCUACGGGAGAAAGCAGGGGACCUUCGGGCCUUGCGCUAUCAGAUGAGCCUAGGUCGGAUUAGCUAGUUGGUGAGGUAAUGGCUCACCAAGGCUACGAUCCGUAACUGGUCUGAGAGGAUGAUCAGUCACACUGGAACUGAGACACGGUCCAGACUCCUACGGGAGGCAGCAGUGGGGAAUAUUGGACAAUGGGCGAAAGCCUGAUCCAGCCAUGCCGCGUGUGUGAAGAAGGUCUUCGGAUUGUAAAGCACUUUAAGUUGGGAGGAAGGGCAGUAAGCUAAUACCUUGCUGUUUUGACGUUACCGACAGAAUAAGCACCGGCUAACUCUGUG
rnacentral:rRNA from 1 species